rnacentral:rRNA from 1 species
AAUACAUAUCAUAGAGAUAUAAGUAAUUCAAAGGGGUUAUUAAGGAAAACUACUGCAAAUUUAUAAAAAAGGAGGUAUAGCACCAAAAGCUUCAGAAAGAAUAUUUAUGUUCUUUCCAAAAUAUGAACAAUAUAAGCGAUCCUAAGGUAAACCUUUAUAAAAAUUACUUCCUGAAGUAAAACAUUUUAUUAAGGAAAGGAAAGGAAAUCAACCGAGACUCCGAAAGUAAUGGUGAGUGAAAUCGGAUUAGCCUAAAAAUCUUUAAUAAUUGAAUAAUUGAUAUCUUGCCUAUAAUCUUUAUAAGAAAAAUAAGUAGGGUAAAUUAGUUAGCAUAAUUUAUUACAUAUAAAUAAAUGUACCAUAGAAGGUCAAACACAAAAGUCCUGUAGAUUAUUAAAGAGUACAAAAUAAAAAGUACGAUGAGAGAUAACUUGUCGGAAAAUAGGGGAACCAUCCUCUAAGGCUAAGUAUUAUAAAUUUAGCGAUAGUGAAAAAGUACUGUAAAGGAAAAGUUUGAAAAGCGAGUGGAAUACAAAAAGUGAAUUAUUAAAUAAUUACUAUGUAAAUAUUUUAAUAAUGAAUCGGUGAAAUAGAUCUUGAAUUAGUAACUCUAUAAGCAGUCGAAAUUCAACUUAAAAACAUACAAGGUAAAUGAAUGACGGCGUACCUUUUGCAUAAUGGGUCAGCAAGUUAAUAGGAGUAGCAAGGUUAAAAGCCCUAGCGAAAGCGACUGGACUAUAUUAUAAAAUAAAUUAUUUUAUAAAAAGAUAGUGAUGGAUAAGUUACUUCUAUUAGACCCGAAGCCAGGUGAUCUUACCAAGACCAGAUUAUAAUGGAUCGAACGGGUGAAUGUUGCAUAAUUCUCCGAUGAGUUUUGGUAAGCGGUGAAAUGCCAAUCUGACCUGGUGAUAGCUGGUUUUCUACCGAAACAUAUUUAAGUAUGACGUCUACACAAGAUUUAUGGAGGUACAGCAAGGCAAUUCCCAACAAAUAUAAAAUCUGUUAUAUCAAUAACAUAAUUUAUACGCGUUUAGGUUGCGGGGAUCUCGAAAAUCUUACCUUUGGAAGCGAAUCUCGGAAUUACAUAAAUUGAUGGUAGACAUUCAGACUACUCAUGCUAAGUUGGGUAGUCAAGACGGAAACAGCCGUGAACAUAGAUCAAGGUCCCAAAUGAUUGUUAAGUGAAAUUAAGGACGUAGCAUAAUCGUAUACAGCUGUGAAGUGAGCCUGGCAGUCGCUACUUUUAAUGAACGUAUGUAACAACGCAUCAGCAGUUAUGAUCGUGGCGCCGAAAAUUUAACGGGUCUUAAACAAUCAACCGAUAUCGUGUUGGUUAAGAAUAUAUUUACAAUAUCCUAAUUAUACUAAAAUAUGUUCUUGAUCUAGGUAGUAGAACAUUCAGUCUAACCAAUAAUAAAAUAGUGUUUCAUUAUUUUUAGGUUACUGAAGAGAGAAUGCUGACAUGAGUAACGUAAAAAGAAGUUAUAAUACUUCUCGCCGAAUACGAAAGGGUUGCAAAUUGGAAAGGUUAAUCCAUUUUGUGUUAAUGCGGCCUCUAAGGACCAAAACCAAAGUUUUGGCUGAUGAGUAUAAAAUAGAAAGUCCAUAAAAUUUAAAAAUGGACCAGGAAAAUAAUAUUUUGUUAAAAAAUUACUACCGUACCCUAAACCGACACAGGUUCGUAGGUAGAGUAUACUAAGGCGUAGAGCUAAAAGUUGUUAAGGAACUCGGCAAGUUCACCUCAUAAGUUAGACGAUAAGAGGUACCAUUUAUGAUUUUAAUUAUUAAGACCUCUUUAUCUUCUACGAGGAUUUAAGAUUAAUAAUAAUUGAUAGAUAGGUGGUGGCACAGAAUCGGAGGCCCCGACUGUUUACUAAAAACACAACACAGUGCAAUCAUUAAUGUGAUAGUAUACUGUGUGAAAUUUGCCCAAUGCCAUUAAUAUAAAAGCGGUCAUAGGAAACUGUGACUAAUUGAAAAUCUGGUUAAUAGCGGUCUUAACCAUGAGGAUCCUAAGGUAGCAAAAUAAAUUGGCCAUUAAAUGUGGUCCGGUAUCAAUAAUGUAACGAUGGCCUCACUGUCUCUACAACUUGCUCAGUGAAAUUGAAUUACGCGUGCAGAUGCGCGUUACCUCCAGUGGGACGGGAAGACCCUAUGCAGCUUUACUGUAGUUAGUUAUCACAUGAAUCUAGAACAACUUUAAUUAAUAGUGAAUAGGCAAAUCGAUAGAUAUAUAGUGGAAACCUUAUAAUUUAAGUUGGGUUUGUGUUUACCUUAUAAUCCAUUAAUUUCUAUAUUACAAAAAAAUAUAGAUAAAUUAGUGGUAUAAAGGGAGAGUUGACUAAUUGGCAGUUUGACUGGGGCGGUCGUCUUUAAUAGAGUAGCAAAGUACAACCAAAUAUUUAUUUAUAUACGUAAUAUCUUAUUUAUACUUAAGAUAUUAAAACAAAUAACUUUCCCUUUUGAUAAGGACUGUCUGUAAAAUGACAAUAAAUUUGAAAGGGUGUAAAAAUUUUAACUAAAACAAAACUUUGUCUUUACUUCUUUCUAUCACUCCUUCCAAAUACUGGUAGGUGGUGUAAGAUACUAUAGAAGAAAGAGACUUAGUCAUUCUUAACUAAAUUUUAUUAAGGUAUGGCUAGAAAUUGAAUGGAGAUCAAUCAACCAGUGAAGGGUUGUGUAGAGCUCAAUGGCGGAAAGCAUGCUUAACUGAAAGACUCAAAAGUCGCACAGAUACGUAAGUAGGGCAUAGUGACCCCUCGCUAUAGUAUGGAAUAGACGGGGAUCAAUUGAUAAAAGUUACGCUAGGGAUAACAGGCUGAUAGCCGACGAGAGUACACAUUGUCUCGGCUGUUUGGCACCUCGAUGUCGACUCAUCCUAUCCUCCGGGGGAAGAAGCUUGGAAGGGUUCGGCUGUUCGCCGAUUAAAAGGGUACGUGAGUUGGGUUUAAUACGACGUGAGUCAGUAUGGUCCCUAUCUUCUGGAGGGACAAGUAGUAAAAGGGGGCAGACCUUCUAGUACGAAAGGACCAAUAGGCUGUGUUUCUCUAGUGCACCAAUUGUUUGUACUUUUUGUAAGGGACCUUAUCUCUAAAGAGAUAUAGGGAAAAUCCUUUUUAACUUUUUUGCGAAAAGUUUUUACUCAAAGCCUGAAAAGGUAAUGAGAAAAAGGUAACAAAUAGGAAAGCAUAGUUGGGUAGCCACAAACAUAAUAGAUAAGUGCUGAAUGUCUCUCAAGCAAGAAUCUAACCCCUAGAUACUAAUAAAAUGGAUCUCUUCUAAAAAUAAUAUAUUUUUAUUAGAGUAUAAACCAUUAAUUAAGAAAUAGAACAUUUCUAGAUAGGCUGCAAAUGUACGUAUUGUAAAA